CCUACGGGAGGCAGCAGUGAGGAAUAUUGGACAAUGGGCGCAAGCCUGAUCCAGCCAUGCCGCGUGCAGGAUGACGGUCCUAUGGAUUGUAAACUGCUUUUAUACGAGAAGAAACACUGCUUCGUGAAGCAGCUUGACGGUAUCGUAAGAAUAAGGAUCGGCUAACUCCGUGCCAGCAGCCGCGGUAAUACGGAGGAUCCAAGCGUUAUCCGGAAUCAUUGGGUUUAAAGGGUCCGUAGGCGGUUUAAUAAGUCAGUGGUGAAAGCCCAUCGCUCAACGGUGGAACGGCCAUUGAUACUGUUAGACUUGAAUUAUUAGGAAGUAACUAGAAUAUGUAGUGUAGCGGUGAAAUGCUUAGAGAUUACAUGGAAUACCAAUUGCGAAGGCAGGUUACUACUAAUGGAUUGACGCUGAUGGACGAAAGCGUGGGUAGCGAACAGGAUUAGAUACCCUGGUAGUCCACGCCGUAAACGAUGGAUACUAGCUGUUGGUGCAAACUCAGUGGNGAGAGAAGAGAGUAGUAGUACCNCCGUCGGUAGGUACGUUCGUUCGUAGAAGUUAGUAACGUUAACAANAGAGUUAGUUAGGCGNGAGAGAGCGACGACGACGACGAGGAGGAGG
rnacentral:rRNA from 1 species